CCUACGGGAGGCAGCAGUGAGGAAUAUUGGUCAAUGGACGGAAGUCUGAACCAGCCAUGCCGCGUGCAGGAAGACGGCUCUCUGAGUUGUAAACUGCAUUUGUACAAGGGUAAACCUGAAUAUGUGUAUUCAGCUGCACGUACUGUACGAGUAAGGAUCGGCUAACUCCGUGACAGCAGCCGCGGUAAUACGGAGGAUCCAAGCGUUAUCCGGAUUUAUUGGGUUUAAGGGGGGCGUAGGCGGAUUGAGAAGUUAGAGGUGAAAGGCCCGGGCUUAACUCGGGAACUGCCUCUAGUACUGUGGGUCUAGAGAGUAGGUGCGGUAGGCGGAAUGUAUGGUGUAGCGGUGAAAUGCUUAGAGAUCA
rnacentral:rRNA from 1 species